AAGUUCUGGAGCCAGUCAUUAUGAUAGGACUUGGUCAACCUAUCGGUGUCAAGAAAUUGAGCUAGUAGAUUGGAACUCGAUAUGGUUAUCUGUAAAGAGAAUAGUUUCUAAUUAGAUUUUUGUAUUUGAUAGAUAUUUAUUCUAGAAAUUUUAAAAAUAAACAAAACUCUCACUAUUUCUCUAAAUCUCUCACACUCUUCAGGUGGAGAAAUGAAAAUCUAUACGCGAUCAGUUUCUAGAGGGUACUGCGC
rnacentral:lncRNA from 1 species